rnacentral:tRNA from 1 species
GAGGGUAGAGCUUAGUGGUAGAGUGUCUGCUUAGCAUGUGCAAGUUCCUGGGUUCAAUACCCAGUACCCCUG